UGGGUAGAGGGUUGAUGUCAGGUUUGUUGAUGGGCAUUGAACCUUUGCCAGGCAAUCAUAAAAAAAGAUCCCAAAUAGCUGGGACAAGGCUAUAAUGAUAAUGAUGACAAUAUACCAUCUAAUUGAGUCCAGAUUUGAAAUAACAGGAUUCUCCUAUCAAGGAGAUUUUCUUGACAUGGCCCAUUAUGAUGAUAAUGGUGACAAUAUACCAUCUAGAGUACCAUAGCAUUUUACUCACCACAAAUUGAAACCACUUGUUUUGAAAUAUCUUAUCCAUUACUCAGUUUUCAACAUGCACGACAUGGGCAGUCUGUAACUGUUUCCAAUCUGAUACGUUCAGUUAGUCUACAAUUCAAUAUUGUCAGAAUUUGCUGGCCAUUGAUUGGUGAGAAGACAGUUCCAACUGAACUGAUAGUUCUGCAUUUUGACACUUCACAGAGGGAGGGAGAGAGUUUAGGAUUUCUUCAAACAUGUUCAAGUUGCCACUGUUUGUCUUAUUACUUUUCACCAUGCCAUUUGAUUCAUCAGCUGGUUAAGGAUCUCUUCAAACAAGUUCAAGUCGCCACCGUUUGUCUUACUACUUUUCACCAUGCCAUUUGAUUCAUUAGCUUGUUUUGAAAGGUUUUUGGAGGUCCAUCUGGCUUUAGAUGACGACGACAAUGAAGGACUGGAUUUUGUGACAACUUGAGAAUCUACUUUUAGAGAUUGUUGAAUGAUGAUGCUGUCACAAGAUAGAAUUAGGAGGGGCCUUAGAUCUUGGAAGGUUGGAAAGGCAUAUGUAUUAUCAUACAUCAUUAGGAAGGGUUGAGAAGUUUCUAGCGAUUUUAGAGGAUAAUGCUGGUUGAUGCUUCAGUUGUUUUAGUAUUUCCAAAACAGCUAGAAGAGAUAGGUAAAGUAAUCAUCAGUCUUAAUUUCCAACUUGUAUUGCUGUGUCUGCAUAAGAUUCGAGUAUUUCCAUGUUUGCACCCAACAUGAAGCUUGUAGUUGGCUGUAAAAUAUCUAUCAUGAAUAGAGUAAUAGAUGCUUGCCCACGUCUAUACAUGAAUCUGCUCCGCUUCCUGUCAUAUUUUGUGCAACCAUAUUUCAGAUUUUUCUCCAGGUGGAAAUUAAUUUAGAUGGUUCUAUUGAAAGCACCUUUAUUUCUUUCUUUGUUUUAGAGUGCAUCCUAGAGACAUUUGUAUCAGACUGAAUUGAUGGAAGGAUUGAAUGUCAUUAAAACAUCUCAAUAGGCCCUGCAUGUCAAUUUGUAUGUUCAGCUUAUCCUAGAGACAUUUGUAUCAGACUAUGAAUUGAAUUGGCUCUAAUGAUCCUAGCUUUCUUUCACUGUUUGGAUUUUUAGAAUUUAAUGCUAGAUGGCAUGUAUUUUAGACUUGAUGGGUUCCAUAUUAAUGAAGAUUAUAGAUGCAAAAACUGGAAAGGAGAAACAUGUUACAAUUUCUGUUGAUGAUGGAAUUUGACCGAACACAUCAUUGUCUGAUUUAGCAAAGCUCAAACAUGCAUUUAAGGAGGGUGGAUUUCAACAGAUUGUUGAGGUCCAUGAUUUCAACAGUCUGAUUCAAGUAACCAUUUAAGGAGGGUGCAAAAAUUACCAUCACUGAACCCAGACCUGGAGCAACAGAGACUGCGAUUAUAAUAUUUGGAACACCUGAGCAGACACAUGCUGCACAGAGUCUUCUUCAAGCAUUUGUACUGAGUGAACAGGGCACUCCUUGACUUGUUGCAUUGGACUGGUCUUUGUGACAGUACUAGCAGGUUGGAUGGAAAAUAAACAUUACUUCCCAAGAUGUUCUUAAUGGUGGGUAUUCAAUCACCAUUUUCUCCCUAACGUGGUCCACAUAAGAUUAUUAUUAUUUUUUUGGUCCACAAGAUUUGUAUUUACUUCAUUUGUUGGAUCUUGAUAUAAAAUUCCUGUGGUGUGGUCCACGAAAUAUUAGCUCCUUGCAACAUCACAGGUGGGUCCAUUGUUUCAUACCAAUUCCAGCUAAUGGUGACCCCAUAACUUGGUGACGCCAAGACAUCACCGAGGUGGUAUCUGGCACACCACAAAAUCCGCUUCUACUAAAAUUAGAUGCCGACUCCUACCAAAGGCUUCAACUGGAAUUUCGUGAUGUCACGGUCCAAAAAUCAGGCAAGUCCACUCCAUGUAAGGAUCACCAAAAGCAAGGGCCCCACACCCUUGGCUUAUUAUUAUUAUUUUUAAUUUUCUUACCAAUCUUCAUUGCUUCAAUAUAACGAAGGGUUUCCAUAAUGUUUGACUUGUAUUAUGUAUUUAUCUUUGGUUGUAAGAUGCUUAUUCAAAGUGGAAGUAACUAUAUAGAGUGUAGGCUCAGGGGUCCACAAUGCUUACAUGAAUGUAUGAUCAAAGCUGCUCAUCAGGUACAAGCCACUAUAUGGCUUUCCUUGUGCUGAAUUCAGGUCCAUCCAUAUUGAGUUGCAUGCUAGUUAAUACUUCUGUAAAAAGGCUCAUAUUGAGUUGCAUGCUAUGGUGCUUAUGAUGCAGUUUUAUCCUUGAAGAAAAAGGGAAGAAAAAUCUGUCCACAUAUUUAUAAAAAAAAUAAAAAUUCCAUAGGUAUUCUCCUCCAUCUGCUAGUUACAGGUAUUUAUUGGUUCCUUUUAUUUUAUAUCAAAUUUGUUUUUUGGUUAUUUUAUUUUGUUUUGCAAACUUUUGUCUUUGCAUUGGUAACUGAAGGUGGAGCAUUUGGGGUGGAGUAUUGGGUAACAGAGGGGGGCUUUGUUGCUUCAUAUGGGGAUGGAUAUGGACUUCAUUCGGGUGGUGCUGACAAAGGUCUUCUACAUGGCAUGAGUUCUGGUUCUUGGGGUGCAUUUGAGAAGUCUCGCCUCGGGCGUCGUUGAAGUCCGUUGAUUUUUUAUUUAUUUUUCCUUGUGUCUCAAUCUGUAAAUUUUCUAUCCAUUAUGUAACCUUUCAUUCUCAGGCCCCCUGUAAAUGAGACUGGUUGUAAAUGAUUUAUAGGUUGUGUUUGAAUGCUAAUUUAAUCUUGUAAAGGUCUUUUGAUUUAGAA